UGGGGAAUUUUGCACAAUGGGGGAAACCCUGAUGCAGCGACGCCGCGUGAUUUAGAAGGCCUUCGGGUUGUAAAAAUCUUUUUUACGGGAUGAAAAUGACAGUACCGUAAGAAUAAGGUCCGGCUAAAUACGUGCCAGCAGCCGCGGUAAUACGUAUGGACCGAGCGUUGUCCGGAAUCAUUGGGCGUAAAGGGUACGUAGGCGGUUUAAUAAGUCGAAUGUUAAAGAUCGGGGCUCAACCCCGUAAAGCAUUGGAAACUGAUAAACUUGAGUAGUGGAGAGGAAAGUGGAAUUCCUAGUGUAGUGGUGAAAUACGUAGAUAUUAGGAGGAAUACCAGUAGCGAAGGCGACUUUCUGGACACAAACUGACGCUGAGGUACGAAAGCGUGGGGAGCAAACAGG
rnacentral:rRNA from 1 species